rnacentral:rRNA from 1 species
UACGGGGGGGGCAAGCGUUGUUCGGAAUUACUGGGCGUAAAGGGCUCGUAGGCGGCCAACUAAGUCGGAUGUGAAAUCCCCAGGCUCAACCUGGGAACUGCAUCCGAUACUGGAUGGCUUGAAUUCGGGAGAGGGAUGCAGAAUUCCAGGUGUAGCGGUGAAAUGCGUAGAUAUCUGGAGGAAUACCGGUGGCGAAGGCGGCAUCCUGGACCGGUACUGACGCUGAGGAGCGAAAGCGUGGGGAGCGAACAGG